GAUGAACGCUGGCGGCGUGCCUAAUACAUGCAAGUCGAGCGAACAGACGAGGAGCUUGCUCCUCUGACGUUAGCGGCGGACGGGUGAGUAACACGUGGAUAACCUACCUAUAAGACUGGGAUCACUUCGGGAAACCGGAGCUAAUACCGGAUAAUAUAUUGAACCGCAUGGUUCAAUAGUGAAAGACGGUUUUGCUGUCACUUAUAGAUGGAUCCGCGCCGCAUUAGCUAGUUGGUAAGGUAACGGCUUACCAAGGCAACGAUGCGUAGCCGACCUGAGAGGGUGAUCGGCCACACUGGAACUGAGACACGGUCCAGACUCCUACGGGAGGCAGCAGUAGGGAAUCUGCCGCAAUGGGCGAAAGCCUGACGGAGCAACGCCGCGUGAGUGAUGAAGGUCUUCGGAUCGUAAAACUCUGUUAUUAGGAAAGAACAAAUGUGUAAGUAACUAUGCACGUCUUGACGGUACCGAAUCAGAAAGCCACGGCUAACUACGUG
rnacentral:rRNA from 1 species